rnacentral:rRNA from 1 species
UGGGGAAUUGUUCACAAUGGGCGCAAGCCUGAUGACGCAACGCCGCGUGGGGGAUGAAGGUCUUCGGAUCGUAAACCCCUGUCGAAUGGGACGAAUAGCCCGCGAAUUAAUACCUCGUGGGAAUGACGGUACCGUUAAAGGAAGCCACGGCUAACUCUGUGCCAGCAGCCGCGGUAAUACAGAGGUGGCAAGCGUUGUUCGGAAUUACUGGGCGUAAAGGGCGCGUAGGCGGCCAUCUAAGUCAGACGUGAAAUCCCCCGGCUCAACCUGGGAACUGCGUCUGAUACUGGGAGGCUAGAGUUUGGGAGAGGGAUGUAGAAUUCCAGGUGUAGCGGUGAAAUGCGUAGAUAUCUGGAGGAAUACCGGUGGCGAAGGCGGCAUCCUGGACCAAUACUGACGCUGAGGCGCGAAAGCCAGGGGAGCAAACGGGAUUAGAUACCCGCGUAGUCCCUGAGCGGGCUGGCAAGGCGCAU